rnacentral:rRNA from 1 species
CCUACGGGGAGCAGCAGUGAGGAAUAUUGGUCAAUGGACGAGAGUCUGAACCAGCCAAGUAGCGUGAAGGAUGACUGCCCUAUGGGUUGUAAACUUCUUUUAUAUGGGAAUAAAAUGUUCCACGUGUGGGAUUUUGUAUGUACCAUAUGAAUAAGGAUCGGCUAACUCCGUUCCAGCAGCCGCGGUAAUACGGAGGAUCCGAGCGUUAUCCGGAUUUAUUGGGUUUAAAGGGAGCGUAGGUGGAUUGUUAAGUCAGUUGUGAAAGUUUGCGGCUCAACCGUAAAAUUGCAGUUGAAACUGGCAGUCUUGAGUACAGUAGAGGUGGGCGGAAUUCGUGGUGUAGCGGUGAAAUGCUUAGAUAUCACGAAGAACUCCGAUUGCGAAGGCAGUUCACUGGACUGCAACUGACACUGAGGCUCGAAAGUGUGGGUAUCAAACAGGAUUAGAUACCCUUGUAGUC